rnacentral:rRNA from 1 species
AACGAACGCUGGCGGCAGGCUUAACACAUGCAAGUCGAGCGCCCCGCAAGGGGAGCGGCAGACGGGUGAGUAACGCGUGGGAAUCUACCCAACUCUACGGAGCAACUCCGGGAAACUGGAGCUAAUACCGUAUACGUCCUUCGGGAGAAAGAUUUAUCGGAGAUGGAUGAGCCCGCGUUGGAUUAGCUAGUUGGUGGGGUAAUGGCCUACCAAGGCGACGAUCCAUAGCUGGUCUGAGAGGAUGAUCAGCCAGACUGGGACUGAGAAACGGCCCAGACUCCUACGGGAGGCAGCAGUGGGGAAUAUUGGACAAUGGGCGAAAGCCUGAUCCAGCCAUGCCGCGUGAGUGAUGAAGGCCCUAGGGUUGUAAAGCUCUUUCACCGGUGAAGAUAAUGACGGUAACCGGAGAAGAAGCCCCGGCUAACUUCGUGCCAGCAGCCGCCGUAACAC